CAUCGAGGAGCCUUUUACAGAAGUGGCUCCAGGAGCAUCCACAUCUGCCUCUCGGGGCCCACGGGGCCCAGGCCAGCUACAGAAGCACCCUGCUUUCCAUGGGAAAAUGCUGCAAAUGGGGGAGAAAGGAGAGAAGGGUUUCAGACUGCAAAGACCCUUCGACAUCAGCUAGCACCAAGUUCCAUCAUGUAAAUAAACUGAAGGGCUUCAGACCGGGAGUGAAGCCAAGCAGGUGAUAGAAGUGUUUGUAGGAGGAUUUUUUUGACAUAAACAUGAAAUGGAGCGAGUGGUAACGCCAUCCGUCUCCUGCCCAGACCUCCCCACUGUCACUGUCCAGCCUGAAGCCGCCCUGGUGAAGCAGGUGGAGGAGCAGCUCCAGGCCCGGCUCCCCGGCCUCCCUCCCUCAGCUCCAGGGCACUCACGUGCUUGAAACAGCUGACGGGAGCAGCCUUGUAACUGUGAUCCUUCAGGAACUUCCCCCAGUCGAAGCCCAAGACCAGAGCUGCAGAGCAGAGAGGACGAGUCAGACUAGGAGCCUGCGCAGCAGCCACUCCAGGAGCCUGGACCCCAAGGGCCCUGUGGGACCUGCAGAGGGGACACUCUGAAGGCACCUGGCUCAGAACCACUGCCAUCCAAGGAGCGAGGAGUCCCAGGGCUGAGCAAAUGCAGCGGGGAGGUCGGCAGUUCCCCUGCUUCCCGAUCCUCAUUUUCUGCUUCACUUGACUCCUCCAGAUAGGAGCUGCUCUCACUGCCCACACUGCUGUUAUAACUCCGGAAACUAUCAUAGCCACCAAACAGCUCCAAGUCGUCAUCUUCCUCUUCCUCCAUUGGUUCUGAAGAUGGGGUCUCCUAAUGGAGGAUGACACAAACCAGGUAGAAAGAAUUAUGAUUGGCUUUAGUGCACGGGGGGAGAAGCUGCAGAUCUGCUAUCAGCCCCCUCACACUUUCGGGAACCUUUCAAAUACCCCUUUUACAAACACCAAGAUCAUUACUUCUAUUUACACAUUUCUCCACCAUGAUGCAAUUCAACAGCUUAACAAGACAGAAAAUAUGUGUUAGGAAUUCACCAGGCUCCUCUGUGGAUUUACAAAUGAUGAUAUUUUAACAUGGUUCAAAUAGAAUACUGUAUAACAAUGUGGGCCAGGUGCGGUGGCUCAUGCCUGUAAUCCUAGCACUUUGGGAGGCCGAGGCUGGCAGAUCACCUGAGGUCAGGAGUUCGAGACCAGCCUGGCCAAGAGGGUGAAACCCUGUCUCUACAAAAAAAUACAAGAAAAAAUUAGCCAGGCGUGGUGGCGGGCACCUGUAGUCCAGCUACUUGGGAGGCUGGGGCAGAGAAUUGCUUGAACCCAGGAGGCAAAGGUUGUAGUGGGCCAAGAUCGUGCCACUGCACUCCAGUCUGCGUGACAGAGCAAGACUCCAUCUCAAAAAAAAAAAAAAAGUGAAAUAUCCUAAGGUACUUCACAAAGACUUUCUGGGGUAGAAGAUAUAUUAGAAAUUAAUUCUUAGCCAGGCACAGUGGCCCACACCUGUAAUCCCAGCACUUUCCGAGGCCAAGGUGGGUGGAUCACGAAGUCAGGAGUUCAAGACCAACCUGGCCAAGAUGGUGAAACCCCGUCUCUACUAAAAAUACAAAAAUUGGCUGGGUGUGGUGGCGGGUGCCUGUAAUCCCAGGUACUUGGGAAGCUGAGGCAGAGAAUUGCUUGAACCCGGGAGGUGGAGGUUGCAGCGAGCUAAGAUCGCGCCACUGCACUCCAGCCUGGUAAUGGAGUGAGAUGCUGUCUCAAAAAGAAAAACAAAAAUUCUUCCCCGUUCAAUAUACAUCAAAAUGAUCUCAACUCAGAAACAAUUUAAGUCACAGAAAAGUUAAUUUGGGACCUAGACUGCUCCAAAGAGGAUGGGAGAGGCAGAUGACACACAGAUAACUGUGGCAUCUUGGUGUGUACUACAGCGCUAGAUUCAGCUCUGAGCCUAACUAGCUAUAGGGCCUUGGGCAAGUCAUUUAACUUCUGUGGGCUUCAACUUUCUCAUCUAUAAAAUAAAAAUAUUUGACUCGUGAGAUGCAAAUGAGAUAAUGUAUAUGAAUCUACCCAGCAUGUAACAGAAAACGUGUGAAGAGCCUGGGUACGGUGGUUCACAUCUGUAAUCCCAGCACUUUGGGAGGCUGAGGCAGGUGGAUUGCUUGAACCCAGGAGUUUGAGACCAGCCUUGGCAACACAGCCACACCCCAUCUCUACAAAAGAAAAAAAAAUUAGCCAGGUGUGGUGGCAUGCGCCUGUAGUCCCAGCUUCUUGGAGCUGAGGUGGAAGGACUGCUUGAGCCUGGGAGGUCAAGGCUGUAGUGAGCCAUAACCAUGCCACUGCAAUCCAGCCUGGGCAAGAGAAUGACAUCCUGUCUCCAAAGAAAAAGAAAAAAAAGCUGGGUGCGGUGGCUCACACCUAUAAUCCCAGCACUUUGGGUGACCGAGGCGGGCGGAUCACUUAAGACCAGGAGUUCAAGACCAUCCUGGCCAACAUGGUGAAAUCCCAUCUCUAGUAAAAAUACAAAAAAUAGCUGGGCAUGAUGGUGGGUGCCUGAAAUCCCAGCUACUCGGGAGGCUGAGGCAGGAGAAUCACUUGAACCCAGGAGUUGGAGGUUGCAGUGAGCCGAGAUUGCACCACUGCCCUCCAGCCUGGGCAACAGAGUGAGACUCCUUCUCAAAAAAAAAAAGCUGGGUGGUGGUGGCAUGCACCUGUGGCUCUAGCUACUCAGAAGGCUGAGGUGGGAAGACAGCUUGAGCCUGGGAGGUCAAGGCUGCACUGAAUCAUGAUCACACCAUUGCACUCCAGCCUGGAUGACAGAGGGAAGACACUGUCUCAAAGGAAAAAAAAGGUGUGAAGAAAGGAGAAAAGUUUGGCCUCUGGUCCAGAGCUCAAAUAUCUCUAGUGCUUACUCGCUGUAUGACCUGCAGCAAGUCAAUUUUGCAGUGCUUCAGUUUCCACAUCUGUACAAUGAGGAUAGUACCACCUAUUUCAUAGGGUUUGGGGGCUGGCCAUGGUGGCUCAUGCCUGUAAUCCCAGCACUUUGGGAGGCCGAGACAGGAGGAUUGCUUGAGCCUAGGAGUUCAAGACCAGACUGGGCAACAUAGGGAAACCCUGUCUCUAUAAAAAAUGGAAAAAAUUAGCUGGGUGUUUUGGUUAGGGAGGCUGAGGUGGGAGGAACUCUUGAGCCAGGGAGGUCAAGGCUGCAGUUAGCUAUGACUGCACCACUGCACUCCAGCCUGGGUGACAGAGAGCAACCCUGUUUCAAAAAAAAAAAAAAAAAAAAAAAAAGGAUUUGGGGGAGAAGUAAGAGACGAUACAGGCAAAGCUCUCAGAAUAGUGACUUGCAUAUAGUAAGUGCUCAAUAAAGGUUGCCAAUUUUUACUGGUUGAAAGCAUAGGCUCUGAUUUGCCUGAGUUUGAAUCCUGGCUCUAACAUUUAUUAACUGUGUGAUUUUGUGCGUAUUUUAUCUUGCUGCUGUCAUCAUUACAAGAGAGGUAAUAAGCUUUCUUUAGAGAAUUCUUACGAAGAUUGAGAUAAGAUAUGUAAAACCUAGUUCUAUUUCCAGCAGUCAGUAACAGCUCUAAAAGUGUGACUUGCUAUUCUUAUUCUCCACAUGAUUAUUCUCGUUUACCCUUGCAGAAAGUUUGAGCUAUUCCACCUUAUAUUUGCAACUACACAUGCAAAUAUGCUAGAAAGGAAGCAAUUUUUUUUUUUUUUUGAGACACAGUCUCGCUCUGUCGUCCAGGCUGGAGUGCAGUGGUGCAGUGGCCCGAUCUCGGCUCACUGCAAGCUCCGCCUCCCACGUUCACGCCAUUCUCCCGCCU
rnacentral:lncRNA from 10 species